rnacentral:pre_miRNA from 1 species
GCGCCAUCACCGCGCCGUGACGUAACAGUUAUGAGUUCGUGUAUACAUGAACUCAUCUCUGUUACGUCACGGCGCGGUGGUGGCGC